rnacentral:rRNA from 1 species
AAUUAGAGACCGGCGCACGGGUGCGUAACGCGUAUGCAAUCUACCUUCACAGAGGGAUAGCCCAGAGAAAUUUGGAUUAAUACCUCAUAGUAUAGCAGUUUCGCAUGAAACCACUAUUAAAGUCACAACGGUGAAAGAUGAGCAUGCGUCCCAUUAGCUAGUUGGUAAGGUAACGGCUUACCAAGGCAACGAUGGGUAGGGGUCCUGAGAGGGAGAUCCCCCACACUGGUACUGAGACACGGACCAGACUCCUACGGGAGGCAGCAGUGAGGAAUAUUGGACAAUGGGCGCAAGCCUGAUCCAGCCAUGCCGCGUGCAGGAUGACGGUCCUAUGGAUUGUAAACUGCUUUUAUACAGGAAGAAACACUACUUCGUGAAGUAGCUUGACGGUACUGUAAGAAUAAGGACCGGCUAACUCCGUG